GACGAACGCUGGCGGCGUGCUUAACACAUGCAAGUCGAACGAUGAUGCCCAGCUUGCUGGGUGGAUUAGUGGCGAACGGGUGAGUAACACGUGAGUAACCUGCCCCUGACUCUGGGAUAAGCGUUGGAAACGACGUCUAAUACUGGAUAUGAUCACUGGCCGAAUGGUCUGGUGGUGGAAAGAUUUUUUGGUUGGGGAUGGACUCGCGGCCUAUCAGCUUGUUGGGGAGGUAAUGGCUCACCAAGGCGACGACGGGUAGCCGGCCUGAGAGGGUGACCGGCCACACUGGGACUGAGACACGGCCCAGACUCCUACGGGAGGCAGCAGUGGGGAAUAUUGCACAAUGGGCGAAAGCCUGAUGCAGCAACGCCGCGUGAGGGAUGACGGCCUUCGGGUUGUAAACCUCUUUUAGUAGGGAAGAAGCGAAAGUGACGGUACCUGCAGAAAAAGCACCGGCUAACUACGUGCCAGCCGCCGCGGUAA
rnacentral:rRNA from 1 species